UACGAAGGGUGCAAACGUUGCUCGGAAUUAUUGGGCGUAAAGCGCACGUAGGCGGCAUUGCAAGUCGGAUGUGAAAUCCCUCGGCUUAACCGAGGAAGUGCAUCCGAAACUGCCGUGCUUGAGUACGAAAGAGGAUCGCGGAAUUCCCGGUGUAGAGGUGAAAUUCGUAGAUAUCGGGAGGAACACCAGUGGCGAAGGCGGCGAUCUGGGUCGAGACUGACGCUGAGGUGCGAAAGCGUGGGGAGCAAACAGG
rnacentral:rRNA from 1 species